rnacentral:rRNA from 1 species
AUUGAACGCUGGCGGCAUGCUUUACACAUGCAAGUCGAACGGUAACAGGCCGCAAGGUGCUGACGAGUGGCGAACGGGUGAGUAAUGCAUCGGAACGUGCCCAGUCGUGGGGGAUAACGCAGCGAAAGCUGUGCUAAUACCGCAUACGAUCUAUGGAUGAAAGCGGGGGACCGAAAGGCCUCGCGCGAUUGGAGCGGCCGAUGUCAGAUUAGGUAGUUGGUGGGGUAAAGGCCUACCAAGCCAACGAUCUGUAGCUGGUCUGAUAGGACGACCAGCCACACGGGGACUGAGAAACGGCCCAGAAUCCUACGGGAGGCAGGAGUGGGAAAGUUUGGACAAUGGGCGGAAGCCUGAUCCAGCAAUGGCGCGUGCAGGAAGAAGGCCUUCGGGUUGUAAACUGCUUUUGUACGGAACGAAACGGUCUGGAUUAAUAUCCUGGACUAAUGACGGUAACGUAAGAAUAAGCACCGGCUAACUACGUG